CUGCGAGUGAAGCGGGAAAAGCUCAAAUUUAAAAUCUGGCAGUCUUUGGCUGUCCGAGUUGUAAUCUAGAGAAGUGUUAUCCGCGCUGGACCGUGUACAAGUCUCCUGGAAUGGAGCGUCAUAGAGGGUGAGAAUCCCGUCUUUGACACGGACUACCAGGGCUUUGUGAUGCGCUCUCAAAGAGUCGAGUUGUUUGGGAAUGCAGCUCAAAAUGGGUGGUAAAUUCCAUCUAAAGCUAAAUAUUGGCGAGAGACCGAUAGCGAACAAGUACCGUGAGGGAAAGAUGAAAAGAACUUUGGAAAGAGAGUUAAACAGUACGUGAAAUUGCUGAAAGGGAAACGCUUGAAGUCAGUCGCGUUAUCCAGGGAUCAGCCUUGCUUUUGCUUGGUGCACUUUCUGGUUGACGGGUCAGCAUCAAUUUUGACUAUUGGAAAAAGAUUAGGGGAAUGUGGCAUCUUUGGAUGUGUUAUAGCCCUUGGUUGCAUACAAUGGUUGGGAUUGAGGAACUCAGCACGCCGCAAGGCCGGGUUUUAACCACGUACGUGCUUAGGAUGCUGGCAUAAUGGCUUUAAUCGACCCGUCUUGAAACACGGACCAAGGAGUCUAACAUACCUGCGAGUGUUUGGGUGGAAAACCCGAGCGCGUAAUGAAAGUGAAAGUUGAGAUCCCUGUCGUGGGGAGCAUCGACGCCCAGACCAGAUCUUUUGUGACGGUUCUGCGGUAGAGCAUGUAUGUUGGGACCCGAAAGAUGGUGAACUAUGCCUGAAUAGGGUGAAGCCAGAGGAAACUCUGGUGGAGGCUCGUAGCGAUUCUGACGUGCAAAUCGAUCGUCAAAUUUGGGUAUAGGGGCGAAAGACUAAUC
rnacentral:rRNA from 1 species